UCUCAGACACAUUUAUUUGGCCUAUUCGGUGUUUCUAAGAGCACUGUUGGAUUAGCUGCUGUAUUUUAAAGUGGGGGCCUUUGCAUAAAAAUCUGGAGCUCUGCUGGGUUUGGGCUUUCCAAAAUCAAGAUCUUAAUGAUGCAUUGCCUUUUUGUUCUAAUUGAUGUCAUCUGGAAAGAUCCCAUGAAAUCCUAAGUAGUGGUUUAGAACAUACAGCUGUGCAAAGGCAGAGGAAGGAUGAUUCCCACGGCCAGCAACUACCCUCGGCAAGACCACGGCUCAGGAGCUGAUGUGUUUUGGCUUUGGGCCCCUGAAUAUACUGCCUGCUUCCAGCUGUUUGAGGCCAGGUGGCCCCAAGCUGGGAAACAUACACAGAUGUAAAUGAAAACAAAACACAUCACGGGAAACGGGCCACAUUCUUUUCCUCUACAGUUAUGGGAGUUCAUGCAUGAUGAACAGAGAGGCUGAAGGCCUGGAUGAACAUUCACCAACUGAUUUGGCAAAUAAUGUUUCCAUUAUGGAAUAUACAAUGGAGCUUCUCCCAACUGGGCUAGUGUUUUGC